rnacentral:rRNA from 1 species
UACGGAGGGUGCAAGCGUUAUCCGGAUUUACUGGGUUUAAAGGGUGUGUAGGCGGAUUUUUAAGUCAGAGGUGAAAUCUCCAGGCUCAACCUGGAAACUGCCCCCUGAUACUAUUAGUCUUGAAUAUUGAUGAGGUGGGCGGAACGGGUCAUGUAGCGGUGAAAUGCUUAGAGAUGACCCCGGAACACCAAUUGCGAAGGGCAGCUCAC